CUAUUGCUAUCGGGAUGAGACUAAGCCAUGCUAGUUGUGCGCUUCCUAGCUAUGUUGGAAGAGCAGCAAACGGCUCCGUAACACGUAGUUAAUCUGCCCUUAGGACAGACAUAACCUUGGGAAACUGAGGCUAAUAUCUGAUAGGUGGAAACGCCUGGAAUGGUCUUCCGCUUAAAGGUUUUUGGAGACAUGCCUCCAAGAAUGCCUAAGGAUGAGACUGCGGCCGAUCAGGCUGUUGGUGGGGUAACGGCUCACCAAACCUAUAACCGGUACGGGCCCUGAGAGGGGGAGCCCGGAGAUGGGAACUGAGACAAGGUCCCAGGCCCUACGGGGCGCAGCAGGCGCGAAACCUCCACAAUGCGCGAAAGCGUGAUGGGGUUAUCCCGAGUGCCGUCCGUUGAGGAGGGCUUUUCCCCAGUGUAAGGAGCUGGGGGAAUAAAGGGGGGGCAAGACUGGUGUCAGCCGCCGCGGUAAUACCAGCCCCCUGAGUUAUAGGGACGAUUAUUUAGCCUAAAGCGUUCGUAGCCGGCUCAGCAAGUCUUUCGUUAAAUCUAACGACUCAAUCGUUAGGCCGCGGAAGAUACUACUAGGCUUGAGGACGGGAGAGGUCGACGGUAUUCCCGGUGUAGGGGUGAAAUCCAAUAAUCCCGGGAGGACCACCAGUGGCGAAGGCGGUCGACCAGAACGUGCCUGACGGUGAUGGACGAAAGCUGGGGGGGCAAACCGGAUUAGACACCCGGGUAGUCCCAGCUGUAAACGAUGCGAGCUAGGUGUUGGGGUAGCCACGAGCUGUCCCAGUGCCGUAGAGAAGUUGUUAAGCUCGCCGCUUGGGGAGUACGGCCGCAAGGUUGAAAC
rnacentral:rRNA from 1 species